CAGGACAUUAGGAGUUUGAAUGAAAAUGACUUCGUGUUGUUCGGUGCUAGUGGAGAGUCCAUCCAGGCUGAAGCUUUAGGAAUCAAGCUGUUGAAGUUGCUUUCAAAUAAAGUUUUAGAAUUGAAGGACUAUACGUAUGUCCCUAACAUUGUUAGAAAUAUUAUUUCUAUACGUAUGUUACUGGAAUAAAGUUUUGAAAUAAGAAGAAAGGAUAA
rnacentral:lncRNA from 1 species